UUACGGCCAUAUCACGUUGAAACACCGGUUCCGGUACGAUCACCGAAGUUAAGCAACGUCGAGCUUGAUCAGUACCUAGAUGGGUGACUGCUUGAGAAUAUCAGAAACUGUAA